GACAGUUACUCAAAAUGGAUUGUAAGAUAGCCCUGAUACUUUUGACUGUCUGCUGUGCAGGUGUUGAUAGUCAGACUCUUACAGAGUCUGAACCAGCAGUUAAAAGACCAGGAGAUUCACACAGACUGACCUGUACAGCCUCUGGAUUCACAUUCAGCAGCUACCAUAUGGGCUGGGUCAGACAGGCUCCUGGAAAAGGACUGGAGUGGAUUGCUUACAUUUACACUGAUAGUAGUGGCAUCUUCUACUCUCAGUCAGUCAGAGGCCGGUUCACCAUCUCCAGAGACAACAGCAGACAGCAGCUGUAUCUGCAGAUGAACAGCCUGAAGACUGAAGAUUCUGCUGUUUAUUAUUGUGCUCGAGACCCACAGUGA